rnacentral:rRNA from 1 species
CACGCCGUAAACGAUGAGUACUAAGUGUUGGAGGAAUUCAGUGCUGAAGCAAACGUAAUAAGUACUCCGCCUGAGUAGUACGUACGCAAGUAUGAAACUCAAAGGAAUUGACGGGACCCC